rnacentral:rRNA from 1 species
GUCUACAGCCAUACCACCCUGAAUGCACCCAAUCUUGUCCAUCUCAGAAGCUAAGCAGGGUCAGGCCUGGCUAGUACUUGGAUGGGAGACCGCCUGGGAAUACUGGGUGCUGUGAGCU